UCUGAUAUAUCACUGAAGCCAGCACCUAGAUGAUGUGACUCUUAUCUCCUGCCUUGGUGCUGUCCACAGGGGACAUUGGGACAUAUCACUUGGCCUUGCACCUAGGAUUUGUUUGGAAGGAGAUUGUGAUACAUUGGUGGGUCCAACUUCUCGGUGACAUUACUCUGUUGACUUUGCUCUGCAAGCAGAAAGCACUGUGACACAUUAUUGGGCCCAACAACAAGGCGAUGUGACUCUCCACUCCUACCUGGGCCCUUCCAAAAGAGGGGAUCGUGAGAUAUCACUGACCCUACCACCAAG